rnacentral:ncRNA from 2 species
CAAAUCGAGGCAGCCGACGGUCCCUUCGGGGACAAAAAGGGAAUACCGGACGCGCCUGAGCGCGCGAAGCCGGAGCUGCCCCCGCAACUGUAAGCGGCGAGUCUGCGCCAUGGCCACUGGACUUGUUCCGGGAAGGCGGCGCUGGCUGUGACCCGCGAGCCAGGAGACCUGCCGUCGCCUGCCCGGAUCG